CGGUUCGGGAAGCUGAGACAGUAGGAUCGCGAGUUCAAAGCCAGCCUCUCAGCAGUUUAGCGAGGCGCUAAGCAACUCAGUGAGACCCUGUCUCUAACUAAAAUACAAAAAAGGUCUGGGGAUGUGGCUCAGUGGUCAAGUGCCCCUGAGUUCAAUCCCCUUUACCCUGCUCAAAAAAAAAAAAGGAGGGGAGAGAGCUGUUAAGCAGUGAGAAUUGCAUCCUACUUUGGCCUUCAUAUCUACCUUGAACAAGCUUGGCCCCUUCUUGCCUCUUAUGUUUCUCACUUCCUCUGCUCUUUCUCUGUAACUUUGUACAACAAGCUUCUUGUUUUUCAGAUUUCAGUUCAAAGCUCACUACAUUGAAGGAGUCUUUCAUCCCCAUGAAUGUUGCCUCAAACAACACCAGCCCUGCGGGAAGCAUAUGAUUGGUCCUGUUUGGAUCUGAUGCUCUCCCCUAGACAAAUCAGGGGAAAAGGAUAAUGGAAUUAGCCAAGCCUAGGACUCCUAUCUGUCCCACAGGUGAAGACGGACUUCUGUGUUUGCCCCAUCACAAAUCUGUGAAAUAGGAAAAGGAGUUUCUACCAUAGGAAAGGAAUAUUAUGUUAUAUAUUCAGCACAUGAAAUAGCAGAAAGGAGGUUGUAUACGGUGGUGCAAGCCUGUAAUCCCACGGGCUCAGGAGGCUGAGGCAGGAAGAUUUCAAGUUCAAAGCCAGUCUCAGCAACUUAGCAAGGCCGUCUCAAAAUAAAACAAACAAACAACAACAAAAAAAAAAAAAAAAAAAAAACAACAGAAAGGAAAACUUUCUCUUGAGUUCAUCCUUGGACUUAAGCACUAGAUUCCAGGGUCCCUCACUUUAGCUACUCUUGCACCAAUAUCCUUAACUACCUUUCCUUACUAUCCUCAACUGCCUGGUUGACCUCGAUUCAGUCAAAAUGUCUAUCUUCCUUGCCCAGGCUGCUAACAAUGAGUGGGAAGAUUACAUUAAAGAGCCCUAAGAUAGUUUUAUGAUAUCUGCUUUCCAGAGGUCUUUGACUUACACCUAAAAAUAAUUUUUUGUUUCCCUACCACUUUGUCUACCAUUUUCCCCAGUUGCUGUUUUAAUCUUUUUCACUCUGCUCAAACCUUACUCUAAGUAAUGAUCCAAGAGAAAUCAAUUACCAUCAUGAUCAUUGCCAGCUAUGUUGUUCCAAAGGAAAAAUGCCCAGACUACAAAAACAUUCUGCCACAGAACCAAGAUAAUUGGUUCUACUGGCUUUUUUCCCUAACACACCUGCAUUAGUGAGCAUCUGCUUUAGGAGUCUAAAUCAGGGCUGGGCUGUAGCUCAGUGGCAGAGUGCUUGCCUAGCAUGAUGUAUGAGGCACUGGGUUCCAUCCUUAGCACCACAUAAAAAUCAAUUUAAAAAAAAUAAAGACAUUCUGUUCACCUAUAACUAAAAAAAAUGGUGGCAGCAUAAUGGAAUCACCUGAGAAUCUUUAAAAAUACCAAGGUUUGGUGCCUCCCAGGUAGAUUUUGUUAAAGUUGACCCAAAAUAUGAUCUGAGCAUGGGUUGGUUUGUUUUGUUUUGGACUUUGCAGACAACUAUAACAUACAACCAGCAAUGAAAAUCAAUGGCAUAGGUUAGUACUCAAAGUGUGAUUUCUGAACCAGCAGCAUUAGUAUCACCUGGGAACUUCUUAGAAAUGUAGAUUCUUGGGCUCUGCCCAUAGUUCUGAAUCAGGCACUCUUGGGUUAGAGCCCAGCAGUCUGUAUAACAAGCCCUUCAGGGUUUUCAGGCACACUAAAGUGUGAAUCAUUAACCAAGACAUUGACUUGCUUCACUUGAUCAGUCUUUGUAUGUUGGUUAGAAAGGAAAAGGAUAUGUUGUCUCCUUCUGAGUACUCCCCUGCCCACCAUCUGCUGUAUUACGCUAGUCAAUUUAGGAGCCAUCUGUAGCAAUAGGAUUCUACUGAGGGAAAGAGACCAGGGCAUAUGGUCCACAAAUGCUGUGCCCAUUUUCAGUGUGUAUGAAGAUAAGUAGGAGUGGGUGGGGGCUGAUAUUUGUUUAUUAACAGGAUCAGGACUUCCAUGGAUUUAGUUUAUAGUUAAGUAUUAGCAGUUUUGUUCUUUCUGAAAAAAAAAAGUGUAGGUAGGAAAUUUGACUACCCUUCUAAAUUAAUAGACAGGUACAUGACAGAUAAAACACAUACUGUUCUUUUGCAUUCUGUUCCCUCUGUCUGUAGAAGGUGUGGGAAGGAGAGCUAGAAGAACUGACAGUACUCCUUCCUUAUGCUAUAACCACAUCAUUUCCCAAAUUAGUUUGCAACUCUGAUUUAGGCCUAGUGCUGUUCAUAAUUGUAUUUUCAGUCACCUAUGGCCCAUAUUCCAAGAGGUACUAAACUAUUGUUAUCAGCAAUCAGUUCUCUUGGAUUUAACAGUAUUAUAAGUGUAAGCCACUGUUAAGAUUCUGGAAGAAAUGACCAAAAGGUUUGCACCUACCUUAUGAACCUUGGAAUCUUUCAAAAUCCCUUCUCCCACAGGCACAUAAUGCAGGACUGAGGAUGAACUAAUGUAAGGCACCAGCACACACAUAAAUAUAUAUAAUGUGUGUUGCUGGGUAUUGAACCCAGGACCUUGCACUCAGCUACUGAGUUACAUCCUUCUUAAGGGUCAUUCCUUGUUCUACCUCUUAAAGUCUCAUAAUGGGGAUUAAAUUUCAACAUGAAUUUGGGGGCAGCAAACUAUAUUCAAAUCCUGGCAACAUUUUAAAUGAGUAUAUUUGAGGGCUGGGAUUGUGGCUCAGCGGUAGAAUGCUCGCCUAGCAUGUGCAAGGCCCUGGGUUCAAUCCUCAGCACCACAUAUAAAUAAAGGAAUUAUGUGCAACUACAACUAAAAAGUAAAUAUUUUUAAAAAGAGUAUAUUUGUUAAUGAGCCAAUAUUGAUAUUUGAUAUUAACUAAAGUCUACACCUCUCAGAUUUCCUUAGUUUUUACCUAAUGUCUUUUUUCUGUUCCAGGAUCCCAUUCAGAAUACUACAUUAUACUUUUGUCUCUUUAGGUUUUUUUCUUGGAUUUUCCUUGACAUAAUAGUACAUUUUAAAAUGACAACAAAUCCACCUCACCAUAGGUGAUUCAGAAGUAGAUGAAAACAACUGCCACAUUCUCAUGAAACUCACAAAGCAGAUGGCAUUUGUUUAUUGAUUUUUAUAGUGAAUACUGUGAAUCAUUUACAGUUUUCUCACAUGCUUUCAGAUGUGACUCUUAAAUUUUGUCUGGGGCUGAGGGUGUAGCUGGGUAAUAGAGUACUUGCCCAGUAGGUACUCUCUCUAACAUAA
rnacentral:lncRNA from 1 species